GAUGAACGCUAGCGGCAGGCUUAACACAUGCAAGUCAGGGGUAACAUGAAAAGCUUGCUUUUCUGAUGACGACCGGCGCACGGGUGCGUAACGCGUAUACAACCUACCUUUUAGCGGGGAAUAGCCCAGGGAAACUUGGAUUAAUGCCCCAUAGUAUAUAGACUUCUCCUGAAGUUUAUAUUAAACAUUUAUGGCUAUUAGAUGGGUAUGCGUCCUAUUAGUUAGUUGGUAAGGUAACGGCUUACCAAGGCAGCGAUAGGUAGGGGUCCUGAGAGGGAGAUCCCCACACUGGUACUGAGACACGGACCAGACUCCUACGGGAGGCAGCAGUGAGGAAUAUUGGACAAUGGGCGGGAGCCUGAUCCAGCCAUGCCGCGUGCAGGAAGACUGCCCUAUGGGUUGUAAACUGCUUUUACAGAGGAAGAACCACCCCCACGUGUGGGGGUUUGACGGUACUCUGCGAAUAAGGAUCGGCUAACUCCGUG
rnacentral:rRNA from 1 species